rfam:Nicotiana sylvestris Nsyl_contig41619, whole genome shotgun sequence.
UAUCACUCACACAUAGUACGAAAUGUUUCGGGGAGUUAGAAAGUCACCAUAGAUCUUGAGAUUUCUGAAUAGGGCAACUUUUCGAUUGCUGAUCCAUAGGCAUGCAAGAGAGAACCAGGUGAACUGAAAGAUCUUAGUAGCCAGAGGAAAAGAAAUCAAAAACGAUUCUGGUAGUAGAUGCGGGCGAAAUGCGAGCUGCCUACACCGUGAAAAUAAUGGGGGUUGUGGGAUCGGAGAGCAAUACAAGUGUCGUGCAACUAGGUGAAGCAACCCGAAUGUUGCACCCUAGAUGGCGAAAGUCCAAUAGUUGAAACUUGAAAGCAUUACUAACUUAGACUAUGACCGUGUGCCUUUUGAAGAACGAGACGGUGACUUAUA